GUGGGGAAUCUUGCGCAAUGGGCGAAAGCCUGACGCAGCCAUGCCGCGUGAAUGAUGAAGGUCUUAGGAUUGUAAAAUUCUUUCACCGGGGACGAUAAUGACGGUACCCGGAGAAGAAGCCCCGGCUAACUUCGUGCCAGCAGCCGCGGUAAUACGAAGGGGGCUAGCGUUGCUCGGAAUUACUGGGCGUAAAGGGCGCGUAGGCGGAUCGUUAAGUCAGAGGUGAAAUCCCAGGGCUCAACCCUGGAACUGCCUUUGAUACUGGCGAUCUUGAGUAUGAGAGAGGUAUGUGGAACUCCGAGUGUAGAGGUGAAAUUCGUAGAUAUUCGGAAGAACACCAGUGGCGAAGGCGACAUACUGGCUCAUUACUGACGCUGAGGCGCGAAAGCGUGGGGAGCAAACAGGAUUAGAAACCCUAGUAGUCCC
rnacentral:rRNA from 1 species